rnacentral:rRNA from 1 species
UCCUGGCUCAGGUUGAACGCUAGCGGCAGGCCUAAUACAUGCAAGUCGAGGGGGCAGCGGGUGUAGCAAUACAUGCCGGCGACCGGCGCACGGGUGCGUAACGCGUAUGCAACUUACCUCUAACAGGGGAAUAGCCCCGAGAAUCGGGAUUAAUACCUCAUUAACAUUUAUCAUUCGCAUGUUUGAUAAAUUAAAGCUCCGGCGGUUAGAGAUGGGCAUGCGUGACAUUAGCUAGUUGGUGAGGUAACGGCUCACCAAGGCUGCGAUGUCUAGGGGUUCUGAGAGGACAUUCCCCCACACUGGUACUGAGACACGGACCAGACUCCUACGGGAGGCAGCAGUAAGGAAUAUUGGGCAAUGGACGCAAGUCUGACCCAGCCAUGCCGCGUGCAGGAUGAAGGCCCUAUGGGUUGUAAACUGCUUUUGUCAGGGAAUAAACCUGUCUACGUGUAGACAGCUGAAGGUACCUGAAGAAUAAGCAUCGGCUAACUCCGUG